rnacentral:rRNA from 1 species
CGUGUAGGCGGCCGAGUAAGUCCGGUGUGAAAACUCGAGGCUUAACCUCGAGAUGUCAUCGGAAACUAUUCGGCUAGAGUCCGGAAGAGGAGAGUGGAAUUCCUGGUGUAGCGGUGAAAUGCGCAGAUAUCAGGAAGAACACCUAUGGCGAAAGCAGCUCUCUGGGACGGUACUGACGCUGAGACGCGAAAGCGUGGGGAGCGAACA